rnacentral:rRNA from 1 species
AUUGAACGCUGGCGGCAGGCUUAACACAUGCAAGUCGAGCGAGCGGCGGACGGGUGAGUAAUGUCUGGGAAACUGCCUGAGGGAGGGGGAUAACUACUGGAAACGGUAGCUAAUACCGCAUACCAUCAGAGGUGCCCAGAUGGGAUUAGCUAGUAGGUGGGGGAAUGGCUCACCUAGGCGACGAUCCCUAGCGGGUCUGAGAGGAUGACCAGCCCCACGGGACCUGAGACACGUUCCAGCCUCCUACGGGAGGCAGCAGUGGGGACUAUUGCACAAUGGGCGCAAGCCUGAGGCAGCCAUGCCGCGUGGGUGAAGACGGCCUUCGGGUUGUAAAGCACUUUCAGCGAGGAGGCGUUACUCGCAGAAGAAGCACCGGCUAACUCCGUGCCAGCAGCCGCGGUAAUUC